GUGCUCGCUUCGGCAGCACAUGUACUAUAAUUGGAACGACACAGAGAAAAUUAGCAUGGCCCCUGCACAGGAUGACACGCAAAUUCGUGUAGUGUUGUUCCAUAUU